CUGCGGGUGAGCAGAGCAGUCCCUUCGUGGUCGCCAACUGAAACGAUACGCGGAAUAAAUAGACUCCAUAACCUGGGGUAGUUAUGAAGUGGACGUUCCAUAUGCAAAACACUGCACGACUUUUUCAUGCAUAUUCAACCCCUGGCCCCGCCUGUCCUCGCUUCUCAUGCUAAGUAAGUCCACGCCCUUCUGGGCAUGCGUGGUUUGCUGUGGUGGUCGUACGGGUGUCUCUUGGUGGUCCUGAGGCUGAAGAUUGUGGUUUUCCUCAUGAUUGAACUUUUGAACUUUUCCUCUCUGCGCGUGCGCUUUUAGUCCUUUGGUGCUUAUCUGAGUACGUCUGUCAGUCUUGAUAGGCUUGGAGACAGAGGAGCUUCUUUAUCUGGGUUCUUUGCUUCUUCUGGUAUUGUUCUUUAUGCAAGAAGCUUCAGAAAUUUGCAUUUUCCUUUGCCCUUUGUAUUAGGCAGAGGUUUCCUAAGCAAAAGGUAGAAAAUUCAACACAUAACUAUACAAGCUAAAUUAUAAAUGCUUAAUUCAUUUUGAUAACCUAAUUCUAAAAAUCUCUGUUUCACCUCGAGAGCUGUCACAGAGCAGAAGGGCAGAUGAGAUGCUGAAAAGCAGCAAAGCUGAACAGCCUGCCUCAGCUUCAGCAGUGUGCAAUUGACUGAAGGCGAAAAACCAAGCAGCAGAGCAGCAGGCUUCUGUGCGCACUGAAGGCAAUUGCAAGCAUGCAGCAGCUGCUCCUUGCCAAGCACAGGCAGCUGCCUAGGUUCUUGGUUCUUGACCAACUCACAGUUGCCCUUCUUUUCAGCAGCUGCCACCGUGUUCUCUGCAUCUCGCAGCCUCUGGGGAGCAACAAGAAUUUCCAAGGUGGGAUGCAUGACGACUAUGGCAAAACCCAGGAAAGUUGUCCUGGAACACCUUCCAUUGGCAUGCCAAGACUGAAUUCAACAGGCAGGAGAGCAGCAGCCACCGUCCUCCAGCUGUCUGCGAGCUUCGCACACAAGCCGGCUUCUUCGCGGCUUCGUUCUUCGCCUCUUGCAAGCUACCGCGAUCUCCGGCUGCCGGAGGACAAGAAGCGGCUACUUCGCGCACAGAUCACUGGAGCGGCAGCGGUGCGCUCCGGAGCGCCGCUUCUGCCGAAAGACUCCGGCAAGCGGCACUUGCUUUCGGCCAGCUCCGGAGCUGCGUAUUCUGCCUCUCUAGUCGCCUACAUCUUAGCCAAAAGCUUUUCCGCUCCAGUUCUCAAGGAGAAAGUGUACCAGCACUGCUCACUUAGCCCGACCUUGCCAAGAAAUAAGAUUUGCUGCACAUUCCAAGGACACUGCAUUUUCCUGGGCAAGCUGCAACCUUCUGGCAGAUGGCUGUGCUCUCUGCCCACUCCUGCCCAGUUCUUGGUACUAGCGGGCACGUUGCAGCCUGGCGAAGGCAAGAAACCUCUGAAACGAUACGCGGAAUAAAUAAAUAGACUCCAUAAGCUAGGGUAGUUAUGAAGUGGGUAUGUACGUCAGCGCCCGGCACAAGUGAGAUAGCUCUCCAAAACUUGUGCCCCGAGCCUCAGUCUGACCCACACUUUUAUUCUUAAAGACGUUCCAUAUGCAAUACACUGCACAACUUUUUCAUGAGUAUUCAACCCCUGGCCCCGCCUGUCCUCGCUUCUCAUGCUAAAGCUGUCACAGAGCAGAAGGGCAGAUGAGAUGCUGAAAAGCAGCAAAGCUGAACAGCCUGCCUCAGCUUCAGCAGUGUGCAAUUGACUGAAGGCAAAACACCAAGCAGCAGAGCAGCGGGCUUCUGUGCACUU